rnacentral:rRNA from 1 species
GAUGAACGCUGGCGGCGUGCCUAAUACAUGCAAGUCGAGCGAACGGACGAGAAGCUUGCUUCUCUGAUGUUAGCGGCGGACGGGUGAGUAACACGUGGAUAACCUACCUAUAAGACUGGGAUAACUUCGGGAAACCGUAGCUAAUACCGGAUAAUAUUUUGAACCGCAUGGUUCCAAAGUGAAAGACGGUCUUGCUGUCACUUAUAGAUGGAUCCGCGCUGCAUUAGCUAGUUGGUAAGGUAACGGCUUACCAAGGCAACGAUGCAUAGCCGACCUGAGAGGGUGAUCGGCCACACUGGAACUGAGACACGGUCCAGACUCCUACGGGAGGCAGCAGUAGGGAAUCUUCCGCAAUGGGCGAAAGCCUGACGGAGCAACGCCGCGUGAGUGAUGAAGGUCUUCGGAUCGUAAAACUCUGUUAUUAGGGAAGAACAUAUGUGUAAGUAACUGUGCACAUCUUGACGGUACCUAAUCAGAAAGCCACGGCUAACUACGUG